rnacentral:rRNA from 1 species
AUACUUGUAAAGGRACUCGGCAAGUUAUCUUCAUAAGUUAGACGAUAUGAAGAACCCUCUAGUAAUUUAUAAUUUAAGAUUAAAUAAAGCUUUCCCUUACUCACUAACGUGAUAAGUGAGAUAGGUUUAAAUUUAAAAUUAAUUAUAAAUUCUGAUGGUGUCACAAAAUCGGAGGCCCCGACUGUUUACUUAAAACACAGCUUUCUGCAACGAUUAAUAUCUUUGUAUAGGAAGCGAAUUUUGCCCGAUGUCAUUAAUAUAAAGUCGAUAAGCUUUUUAGUAAAUUAUCGACUGAAGUUCUGAUCAAUGGCGGUCUUAACCAUGAGGAUCCUAAGGUAGCAAAAUUAAUUGUCCAUUAAAUGUGGUCCCGACUGAAUAAAGUAACGAUGGUCUCACUGUCUCUACAAGUAUCUCAGUGAAAUUGAAUUAGCCGUGCAGAUGCGGUUUAACUUCG